AAGAAAUUUUAAAACUUUCAACAACGGAUCUCUUGGUUCUCGCAUCGAUGAAGAACGCAGCGAAAUGCGAUACGUAAUGUGAAUUGCAGAAUUCCGUGAAUCAUCGAAUCUUUGAACGCACAUUGCGCCCCUUGGUAUUCCAGGGGGCAUGCCUGUUUGAGCGUCAUUUCCUUCUCACUUUAUAGUGGUUAUGAGAUUACACGGAGGUGUUUUCUUCAAAGGAAAGACAGGGGAGUUGAGGAAUAAUGAUUCAAGGUUUCGGCCGUUCAUUAAUUUUUUUCUCCCCCAUCCAUCAAGUUUGACCUCAAAUCAGGUAGGAGGACCCGCUGAACUUAAGCAUAUCAAUAAGCGGAGGAAAAGAAACCAACAGGGAUUGCCCCAGUAAUGGCGAAUGAAGCGGCAAGAGCCCAAAUUUGAAAUCGGGCAACCGAGUUGUAAUUUGGAGACGGGACACUAGAGAGGAGGAAGGCGAUUAAGUGCCUUGGAACAGGCUGCCGUAGAGGGUGAGAGCCCCGUGAAUCGCUGGAGACCGAUCGAUUAGUGCCCGCCGAAGAGUCGAGUUGUUUGGGAAUGCAGCUCUAAGUGGGUGGUAUAUUCCAUCUAAGGCUAAAUAUUAGCGAGAGACCGAUAGCAAACAAGUACAGUGAUGGAAAGAUGAAAAGAACUUUGGAAAGAGAGUGAAAUAGUACGUGAAAUUGUUGAAAGGGAAGGGUAUUUGAUCCGACAUGGUGUUUAGCAGCGGCCCGUUCCUCGUGGAUGGGUGCACCUGGUUUACACUGGGCCAGCAUCGGUUCUGGGAGCCAUAUACGGGGUUUGUGAAUGUGGCCCUUCGAUUCUGUCGGAGGGUGUUAUAGCGCGGACAUCUUGUGGCUAGCCGGGACCGGGGACUGCGGUGACUUGUCACCAAGGAUGCUGGCAGAACGAGCAAAUACCACCCGUCUUGAAACAUGGACCAAGGAGACUAACGUCUAUGCGAGUGUU
rnacentral:rRNA from 1 species